UGGGAUCAAAACAAAGGCACAGUGAACUUGACACCCUCUUCAGGAUUACUCAGGAACCAGAACUGAUUUUCACACAAAUUAUAAGAAAUUCUACCAAGGAAUCCCUUUUGCCAGACAGCAUUUCACAAGCCUCCAAUCAGAUUCCAGAAAAGACCUCUUGAUACAUCAUCAAGGUGAAACCUA
rfam:Ochotona princeps cont2.38146, whole genome shotgun sequence.